rnacentral:rRNA from 1 species
UACGAGGGGAGCUAGCGUUGUUCGGAAUUACUGGGCGUAAAGGGCGUGUAGGCGGUACCAUAAGUCAGAUGUGAAAGCCCUAGGCUUAACCUAGGAAGUGCAUUUGAUACUGUGGAACUAGAGAUCGAGAGAGGAAAGUGGAAUUACGAGUGUAGAGGUGAAAUUCGUAGAUAUUCGUAAGAACACCAUUGGCGAAGGCGACUUUCUGGCUCGAUACUGACGCUAAGGCGCGAAAGCGUGGGGAGCAAACAGG